rnacentral:rRNA from 1 species
GACGAACGCUGGCGGCGUGCCUAAUACAUGCAAGUCGAACGCUGAAGAGAGGAGCUUGCUCUUCUUGGAUGAGUUGCGAACGGGUGAGUAACGCGUAGGUAACCUGCCUUGUAGCGGGGGAUAACUAUUGGAAACGAUAGCUAAUACCGCAUAACAAUGGAUGACACAUGUCAUUUAUUUGAAAGGGGCAAUUGCUCCACUACAAGAUGGAACUGCGUUGUAUUAGCUAGUAGGUGAGGUAAUGGCUCACCUAGGCGACGAUACAUAGCCGACCUGAGAGGGGGAUCGGCCACACUGGGACUGAGACACCGCCCAGGCUCCUACGGGAGGCAGCAGUAGGGAAUCUUCGGCAAUGGGGGCAACCCUGACCGAGCAACGCCGCGUGAGCGAAGAAGGUUUUCGGACCGUAAAGCUCUGUUGUAAGUCAAGAACGGGUGUGAGAGUGGAAAGUUCACACUGUGACGGUAGCUUACCAGAAAGGGACGGCUAACUACGUG